GGCAGUGUUGCAUAAUGGAUAAAGAGAUGACUUCAAAAUCAUAAAGGCUUGGGUUCAAGUCCCAAUUCUGUCA
rnacentral:tRNA from 1 species